GAAUAGCGUUUAGAGUUGCCAUCUAUUGCGAGGCUUCCAUGUGUGUGGCGAUUACUCAGAACCGGCCUGUUUCGCUUUCAAUUCGUUUUAAGGCAGCCAAAAAAAGAGCCAUCUAACCAUAUUAAUCCCCAACUUGACCGUUCACUUAAAUACAAUCCUAAGUAAGUGGAUAUAAUCACUGGCUUGCAUCCGCGCGUUUUCUGACAGGUGGGGAAGGUUGCAGCAGAGACAAAGGUGAAUCGCGCAAAGCAACAGAAAAAAUUGCUCUCGGACAAUUGUCAAAAAUUACGCAAAAUUCCCACACAUACACCCAUACCUGACAUCCCCCGCCCGACCCGACCGAUUGCCUGGCCUCUCUAGACGUCUGCACGAAAUAGAAAGUAAUAAAGAAACAAAAAAAGAACGCAAAAUGACUUCCGAUAUAACGCUGCAGUUGAUUGCUAUUUUGGAGAAGACAGUGUCGCCAGACAAAAAUGAACUCUUGUCGGCAAAGAACUUCUUGGAACAGGCAGCCGCCAGCAAUCUGCCGGAGUUCCUUAAGGCACUGUCGGAGAUUUUGGUCAAUACGACAAACAGCGCCGUGGCACGCAUGGCCGCUGGUCUUCAGCUCAAAAAUCACUUGACCAGCAAAGAUGAGAAUGUACGGCAACAGCAUCAGGAGCGUUGGCAUCAGUUCCCCACCGAGAUCCGGGAACUGAUCAAGAACAAUAUUCUUAAUGCCUUGGGUACUGAGAAUACGCGUCCCUCUUGUGCCGCGCAGUGCGUGGCCUAUGUGGCUGUCAUAGAGCUGCCCAUCAAUCGCUGGGGCAUGGUCAUCCAGACCCUGGUCAACAAGGUGGUCAGCGAAGGAUCGAGCGAAAUGCAUCGCGAGUCUGCCCUUGAGGCCAUUGGCUACAUUUGCCAGGACAUACGCUUUGGCGUGAUGGAGAAUCAAUCGAAUCAGGUGCUCACGGCCAUCAUUCAUGGCAUGCGCAAGGUCGAGCCAAGCAACCAUGUCCGUCUGGCCGCCACCACGGCUCUGCACAACUCGCUCGAGUUCACCAAGGCCAAUUUUGAGAAGGACAUGGAGCGCAACUUCAUCAUGGAGGUGGUCUGCGAGGCCACCCAGUCCACGGACACUCAGAUCUGUGUGGCUGCCCUUCAGUGUCUGGUGAAGAUUAUGACACUGUACUAUCAGUUCAUGGAGCCCUAUAUGGCUCAGGCCCUCUUCCCCAUAACGCUGGAGGCCAUGAAGUCGGAGAACGAUGCCGUUGCCCUUCAGGGCAUUGAGUUCUGGUCCAACGUCUGCGAUGAGGAGAUCGAUCUGGCCAUCGAGAGCCAGGAGGCCACCGAUCAGGGUCGUGCCCCAGCGCGUGUGUCCAAGCAUUAUGCACGCGGUGCUCUGCAGUUCCUUACGCCUGUACUGGUUGACAAGCUAACCAAACAGGAUGAGUGCGAUGAUGAGGAUACCUGGAGUCCGGCCAAGGCUUCGUCGGUGUGCCUCAUAGUGCUGGCCACUUGUUGCGAGGACGAAAUAGUGCCCCAUGUGUUGCCGUUCAUCCAGGAGAACAUUGAAUCGCAGAACUGGCGCUUCAGAGAUGCCGCCGUCAUGACCUUUGGCUCUGUGCUCAGUGGACUGGAGACCAAUACGCUGAAGCCUUUGGUGGAGCAGGCCAUGCCCACGCUGAUACGUUUGAUGUAUGAUUCUAGUGUCAUUGUGCGUGAUACCACAGCCUGGACUUUUGGACGCAUUUGCGAUAUCAUUCCAGAGGCUGCCAUCGACAAGACCUAUCUACAGCCGCUGCUCGAGUGCUUUGUAAAGAGCUUGAAGUCGGAGCCUCGUGUGGCCGCCAAUGUUUGCUGGGCAUUCAUUGGCCUCUCCGAUGCCGCCUACGAUGCGGCCUCCACCGGAGAGCGCGAGCGCGAGACACCCGAGACGUACGCGCUGUCGCCGUACUUUGAGUUUAUUAUCACACAGCUGCUGGAGACCACCGAUCGUUCGGAUGGGGCCCAAGCCAAUCUGCGUGGAGCUGCCUAUGAGGCUCUCAUGGAUAUGAUCAAGAAUUCGCCCCUCGAUUGCUAUCUGGUGGUGCAGCGCACUACCAUUGUGAUUCUGGAGCGUUUGAACCAAGUCAUGCAGAUGGAGUCGCACAUCAGCAAUCACAGCGAUCGCCAUCAGUUUAACGAUCUGCAGUCGCUGCUCUGCGCCACGCUGCAGAGUGUCCUGCGAAAGGUGCACGAAGAGGAUGCCCCACAGAUAUCCGAUGCCAUCAUGAAUGCCCUGUUCAUGAUGUUCCAGUCAAGUGCUGGCAAAUCGGGAGGUGUGCAGGAGGAUGCCUACCUAGCCGUGUCUACACUGGUGGAGCUUUUGGGCGUACAGUUUAUGAAGUACAUGCCGGCCUUCAAGGAUGUCCUAAUCAUGGGCCUCAAGAACCAUCAGGAGUAUCAGGUAUGCUGUGCCACUGUCGGCCUCACCGGCGAUAUUUGCCGCGCCCUCAAGGAGCAGAUGGUCCCUUAUUGCGAUGAGAUUAUGUCCGUAAUGAUGACCAAUCUGGCGGAGCCCACGCUGCAUCGCACUGUCAAGCCGCAGAUACUCACGGUCUUUGGCGAUAUGGCUCUCAGUAUUGGAAGCCAUUUCCUGAAGUAUCUGAACGUGGUGUUGGAAAUGCUGCGUGCCGCUUCCAAUCUUCAGACGGAUGCCAGCAACUUUGACAUGAACGAGUACAUUGCCCACCUGCGCGAGAGUGUUCUCGAGGCAUAUACAGGCAUCAUUCAGGGCCUCAAGGGUCUCGAUCAGACAGCCCAUCCCGAUGUGAUGCACAUGGAGCCGCAUCUGAUGCACAUUAUUGGCUUCAUCAAGCGCAUUGCCCAGGAUGGCGAAGUAUCCGACUCGAUGAUGGCCAGUGCUGCUGGUUUCAUUGGCGAUCUGUGCACUUCCUUCGGACCCCGUCUUCACACGCUAUUGGACGAUGUCGUAAUCACACAAUUCCUGUCCGAGGGCAAGCGCUCCAAGGGUCAGCGCACGAAAAUGUUGUGCUCGUGGGCCCUGAAGGAGAUCAAGAAGAUCAAUAGCCAAGUCAUCACACAGUGAACGUCUAACUAGAGGUUAAUGUUUCCAACAAUACCCACAAUACAAGAAUGAACUGUCCAGUCCGAAUAAAUCUCUUCUUAACUACUAAGUUUUGUUUGUCCGAUCUACAAUGUAUAUAUUGUUGCUGUGCAACGUGUAAAUGCUAAGACACAUUGUUUAUAAAACUAAAUUAAUUUUAAGUUGAAGGAAUGGCCCGGCCCCCUCCGCCCUCCCAACCUAAAUAGUGAUUACAAUUUUGUUAACCUACCAAACAGAUUGCCCAUUGACUUAUUAUUAUUAUUAUCUAUUAUUGUGGCCGAAAGCAAAUUAUGACAAAUCUUUUGGGCAUUCUGUUUGGAAUGGCCCCCGAUUUUAAGCAUCACCAAAAGAACUUAUCAGAAGUUGUUAAUCGAAAUUAUGUCAAGCCUAAUUUAAGUGUGAAAAUCGGUAAAAACAAGAACACAAAACACACAUUAAAUACAUUACAAAUUCCUUGGAAACAUUAACUUGUUGUUAGCGGCUAUCAAAACAAAGCAAAAACAAAAACACACCCUAAUUUAUAAGACGCCUAUAAUUAUAUGUAACCCAAAAAAACACCUUAGAAAAACUUAAAAUUACAGCAAAAAAAAAAAA
rnacentral:misc_RNA from 1 species